UUCAAACAUGAAAUUCUAGUUCUUUGUUUCAAACAUCGAAAUGUUGUUUACCUUGUCCUUCUAUGCUUAAAUGGUAAAAAUGUCGCAUUUAUAGGAUUGUACACCUGAUCUGAUCAGAGUAGGAUUUACUCGCUGCUCACAGUUACUACUUGUAUUCACUGAUUUCUAUGCCUCAUUUUGCUUGUUUUACUCUCAUUUAUACAGACAAACUGCCUACAAGUUAGUGUGUUGUUAGAUUUUAUUUUAUUUUAUUCUUAACCAUUUUGUCUGAUAACUUGCAGAUGUUGGCCUUCAUUCAUGUUUCGUCGCAAG
rnacentral:lncRNA from 1 species